rnacentral:rRNA from 1 species
CGAGCGCUUCACUUCGGUGAGGAGCGGCGGACGGGUUAGUAACGCGUGGGGACAUACCCUUUUCUAAGGAAUAGCCACUGGAAACGGUGAGUAAUACCCUAUACGCCCUUCGGGGGAAAGAUUUAUCGGUGAAGGAUUGGCCCGCGUUAGAUUAGAUAGUUGGUGGGGUAAUGGCCUACCAAGUCUACGAUCUAUAGCUGGUUUGAGAGGAUGAUCAGCAACACUGGGACUGAGACACGGCCCAG